rnacentral:tmRNA from 1 species
GUAAAGGUUUCGACGGGGGUUCUGAAGUCGGGGAAGCCAUCCGCGGGCUGGACCGCGUUAUCAACCGGAACUUAAAAUUAAACGCUGACAACAAUACUGUUGCAGUAGCGGCCUGAUGCCGCUCGUCACCCGGGUGCACCCGCACGUCCGGUCACUGGCGUCAUUUAUGCGGGAAACGAUGCAGGCUAAGCUUUGCCCCUGCAGGCGUAUGAUGAAGCUACCGAAGCAGUGAGGCUGCUGUCCGCCGCUCUGCCGAGGGAAUGUUAAUAGAACAGCUGUGAUGGGAGAUGCCCUUAUGGACGGGCUUUCGGACGCGGGUUCGAUUCCCGCCUGGUCCA